GCCCGGGUGGCUCAGGGGUUGAGCGCCGGCCUGCGGAUUGAAGGGUCCUGGGUUCGAUCCCCAGUCAGGGCA
rnacentral:tRNA from 1 species